rnacentral:rRNA from 1 species
UACAGAGGUCCCAAGCGUUGUUCGGAUUCACUGGGCGUAAAGGGUGCGUAGGCGGUCGGGUAAGUCUGAUGUGAAAUCUCACAGCUUAACUGUGAAACUGCAUUGGAUACUAUUCGGCUUGAGAGUUGGAGGGGGGACUGGAAUUCUUGGUGUAGCAGUGAAAUGCGUAGAUAUCAAGAGGAACACCAGUGGCGAAGGCGGCCCGCUGGGCAGUGGCUGACGCUGAGGCGCGACAGCGUGGGGAGCAAACAGG